UACGUAGGGGGCUAGCGUUAUCCGGAAUUACUGGGCGUAAAGGGUGCGUAGGUGGUUUCUUAAGUCAGAGGUGAAAGGCUACGGCUCAACCGUAGUAAGCCUUUGAAACUGAGAAACUUGAGUGCAGGAGAGGAGAGUAGAAUUCCUAGUGUAGCGGUGAAAUUCGUAGAUAUCGAGAGGAACACCGGUGGCGAAGGCGGCCAACUGGACGAAUACUGACGCUGAGACUCGAAAGCGUGGGGAGCAAACAGG
rnacentral:rRNA from 1 species